UAGUCAUAUGCUUGUCUCAAAGACUAAGCCAUGCACGUGUCAGUUUAAAUUUUAACCUGGUGAAACUGCGAAUGGCUCAUUACACCAGCAAUCGUAUCCAUGCGUGUGAGUGCUACUUGGAUACCUGUAGCAAUUCUAGAGCUAAUACAUGCCAACGGCGGAGCCUUACGGCGUCGCAGGGCUUAUUCGGUUCAAAAGCUGAUGUUUCAUUGGUGAUUCAGGAUAAUUUUAGGCGGGGCGAACCCGCGAGACCCGGACCUCAUGCUCUCGCAGCGGAGGCGACGCAUUCUAGUUUCUGCCCUAUCAAGUAGUUGUGAAGGUAUUGUCUUCCCAAGCUUAUGACGGGUAACGGAAAAUUAGGGUUUGACUCCGGAGAGGGGGCUUGAGAAUUGGCCACCACAUCUAAGGAAGGCAGCAGGCGCGCAAAUUCCCCAAUCCAGAUACUGGGAGGGAGUGACAAAAAAUAUGAAGGCGGGGCGCAAGCCUGCUAUCGGAAUGAGACACUAUAAUGAACUUAUCGAGUAACAAUU
rnacentral:rRNA from 1 species